rnacentral:rRNA from 1 species
GACGAACGCUGGCGGCGUGCCUAAUACAUGCAAGUAGAACGCUGAAGAGAGGAGCUUGCUCUUCUUGGAUGAGUUGCGAACGGGUGAGUAACGCGUAGGUAACCUGCCUUGUAGCGGGGGAUAACUAUUGGAAACGAUAGCUAAUACCGCAUAACAAUGGAUGACACAUGUCAUUUAUUUGAAAGGGGCAAUUGCUCCACUACAUGAUGGACCUGCGUUGUAUUAGCUAGUAGGUGGGGUAAUGGCUCACCUAGGCGACGAUACAUAGCCGACCUGAGAGGGUGAUAGGCCACACUGAGACUGAGACACGGCACAGACUACAACAGGAGGCAGCAGUAGGGAAUCUUGGGCAAUGGGGGCAAACCUGACCGAGAAACGCCGCAUGAGUGAAGAAGGUUGUCGGAUCGUAAAGCUCUGUUGUAAGUCAAGAACGGGUGUGAGAGUGGAAAGUUCAAACUGUGACGGUAGCGUACCAGAAAGGGACGGCUAACUACGUG